AAGAUCUAAUGAUCUUCGGGAGUUGCGAACCAUUCGAGUAAAGCUCGCCGACCGGUUUAGUCCCACUCGAGGGCCACUAGCAAGUGAUUAGAUUACCCGCCAUUUUGUGAUCUAAAGUGUGAGCACGUGUGACUUAGUAGUCUAAAGUUUUAAGUUUAGUGCGAAAUCCGUUGUGCUGCGACGUUUCCCUUCGGGAAAGUGCGAUACUGCCUGAAGAAGGUGCUCACCUGAAGAGUAGUUGGAAGGCUAGAGCGGAGCCAAUCACGGUACCGAGUAGAAUCCAAACGAGUAAGCUUGCUUUUUGUAAAAUUAUGUGCGAAAUCAUAGAAACUCCUCGAAAAUUCUUUAGGUUUGGUCACUCGGGGCUCGUUAGUCUCUAGAAAACGCCUUUUGAAGCUUACAAAAAUAUUGUAUGGUUUA